rnacentral:rRNA from 1 species
AGUGAACGCUGGCGGUAGGCCUAACACAUGCAAGUCGAACGGCAGCACAGUAAGAGCUUGCUCUUACGGGUGGCGAGUGGCGGACGGGUGAGGAAUACAUCGGAAUCUACUUUUUCGUGGGGGAUAACGUAGGGAAACUUACGCUAAUACCGCAUACGACCUACGGGUGAAAGCAGGAGAUCUUCGGACCUUGCGCGACUGAAUGAGCCGAUGUCGGAUUAGCUAGUUGGCGGGGUAAAGGCCCACCAAGGCGACGAUCCGUAGCUGGUCUGAGAGGAUGAUCGGCCACACUGGAACUGAGACACGGUCCAGACUCCUACGGGAGGCAGCAGUGGGGAAUCUUGGACAAUGGGCGCAAGCCUGAUCCAGCCAUGCCGCGUGGGUGAAGAAGGCCUUCGGGUUGUAAAGCCCUUUUAUUGGGAAAGAAAAGCAGCAGGUUAAUACCCCGCUGUUCUGACGGUACCCAAAGAAUAAGCACCGGCUAACUUCGUG